GGCUGCCUGCGUGUGUGAGCAUGCUCAGAUGCACCCUGGGAAGGGUUCGUUAAAUUCGUUGGGAUCGUUGACAAGCAGGGGAAACUGUCGCUACACUUGUAGCGGCUGCUGGUGCUGCUGGUGGGACUCCUAGGUAUGGACCACCAGGCAGCUGAACCUGUGCCUGCUUCCACUGGGAAGUAAGGCCCAUGGAGUUAAAUGAGGCUCACUAUCAAAGUGGAAAGGAUAUUUAGAUGCCCUGACGUGUCGACACCUACAAAGAUUAGCAUCACUUGGACCAUGGUUUCCCUGUGACACUCUAUGGAUGUGAAAGCUGGACUUGGAAGAAGCAGGACAGAAAAAGUAUUGAUGCUUUUGAACUUUGGUGCUGGAGAAGACAUUUGAGGAGACCAUGGACAGCCAAUGGUCAAUAUCAGUGCGCGCGCGCACACACACACACACACACACACACAGGAAAACAAAAUCUAAAAAUUUCCAUGUUCAGAAAGGUUUUUUGCACGCUGAAAAGCGUUACUGUACGGUAACAAUAUCCUUCAGUUUUCUCAGGCUUCAGGCUUUUAAUUACAAUUCAUUUUAAACUGUCUUAACUGUUUCCUCACCCACCCACCCCAAGUCCUGCAAUGCGAUGAUUUUAAUCGUUCGGACCAUGGUUUCCCCCAUGAUGCUCUGUGGAGGCGAAAGCUGGACUUUGAAGAAGCAGGACAGAAAAAGUAUUGACACUUUUGAAAUUGGGUGCUGGAGAAGACUUGGACAGCCAGGAAGACCAUGGACAGCCAGGAAGACAAACAAAUGGAUGAUAGAACAAGUCAAUCAAGAAUUUUCAGUCGAGGCACAAAUGACCAGGCUCAAACUAUCAUACUCUGGACACAUUAUGCGAAGACCCAACUCCCUCGAGAAGUCUAUAAUGCUGGAAAAGUUGAAAGAAAGAGAAGAAGAGGAUGACCAGCAACAAGGUGGAUGGACUCGAUUAUGACAGCAAUGAAUGCACCACUGAGAGACCUUCAAGGCCAAGGUGAAGGCAGAUCAUCCUGGAGAGAAUCUCUCUAUGUGGUUGCUAAGAGUUGACACUGACUUGACGGCACUUAAUCAAUCAAUCAAAUUGUGCCUAGGAGGUUUGCAACCAGGGGUGCAUCCAGGAUGAAAUUACAGGGGGUGCAACAGGAAAACACCCCCAUGUAUAUAUUUGGAUUUUCUCUCUCUUGCAAAUGCACUAUGCCAGGGGUUUCAAGCUCCAAUCUGGUGGUGAGUCUUAUGCCACCUUCUGUCACCUCACACCACUUUCUGUCUUCCCCUUCCCCCACUUCUCUCAUACCCUUUCUCCCCUGCCCUUUGCCCUGCCAUUUAAAUUAGCUGCAUGUGCAUGCAGUACGUUUUACACCAAAAAAAACACUCAGGGGAAGAUCAGAUUUCUUAAACAUUAUUUUUAGGAGAAAUUCUGAACAACGUAUCUGCAGAUACCAGAGUUUGCAUGGACAAUCCUGCCACUCUCCCCAAUUCCUCUCUCCCUUGCAGAGGUGUUGCUAGGUUUGUUUAUUUAUUUAUUUAUUUAUUUAUUUAUUUAUUUAACGUAUUUUUAUACCACCCAAAACUUACGUCUCUUAUUUAAAAGAUCCAGGGCUUGGGCCCAAAGGGCCUGUCUGAGGCCAAAAACCUCCCCACAUUUUGAUAAUUAAACCCUUUCAUGCUCUCGAAAGGUAUCCAAUACUCUCUUCCCCACUAGUUUACUUUAUCACUAAUUAUGAAUCUCCUUUUUCUCCUGCACCAGGUUUCUCCUGCAAUCAGUACCCUCACAGUUUCAAACCAGUGUGGUGUAGUGAUAGUGUUAUGCCUAGGCUUGGGGGACUGCAUUCCCCAAUCAGUCAUGAAGCCUGCUGCAGGACUUUAGGUGAGACACUCUCUCUCUCUUCCAAACCAGGCUCACAGGAUUGUUGUGAGGAUAAAAGUGGGGAGGAACAACAUGUACACUACCCUGAACUCUUUGGAGGAAGAACAGGAUAUGUGUCAUCAUAAAAUAGAUGUGUCUAUAGCAUAUACGUAUUGAUGUUCUUCUUUGGCCCACAUGCACUGCAAUCCUCAACACAUGAACUCAGAAGUAAAUUCAAAUAGUCUGUG